rnacentral:lncRNA from 1 species
UGUUCCCUGAAGUCAGUGCUUAUCACAACAGACACAGAAAGGACUGGUACGUUUCAUACAGAAGUAUGUUUGUUGUAGGCCAGUUCACACUCUGUACUUUGAUUUAAAUAUACUGAUCAACAGCAUGUGGUUGAAUAAUUGCAUGAUGUGUGGCCAGUUACCGAGAUGUGCUUUUGUGUGGAGGAAUGUUACGCCAUGAAGGAUCCCUUCAGGCCAGAGAGAGAAAAGUUUCUGGUUUUUAGGAUCCAGGUGCUGUGUGUGCAGUAAGACGUGUGUGUGUGGGAACGGACUGCAGUGUGUUCUACACCAAGCACUUUUAUGUGCGGGAUCACCGCCAUCAGUUUCUAGAACAGGUUCAGAAUGAGAUGCUGAGCAAAAAGAGUGUCCAGAAGACGUCCUCUUCACGAUGCUAGAAUGAUUUAGUCAGGUGAGUCUGUUGUGAGGAUGCAAACACUACCGCUGCACCAGACCUGCCUCCUUCCGGCCCUAAGUUGAGGCUGACUAAACCCGAGUUGGUUGCAAAAACCACAGUGGGUGGAGCUGACCAGACCAAGGACGGCGCAGUGGUGGAGCUGGAGGACCAGACCAGAGAGAUGAGGGAGCAGUGGAACCAAAGUGGAUUGGCUGAGCAGACCGACGAUGGAGCUGCUGACUGGAUGGAGGAGCAUGUGGCUGAUCGAGUGGAGCGCAGAGUGGAAUGGCAAACAAAGUGAUCAGACAACAGUGAAGAGGAGAGUGAUGACAGCACCCAAAGGAGGGGGACC